GACAGAGGGUGCAAACGUUUGCUCGGAAUCACUGGGCGUAAAGGGCGUGUAGGCGGGUAGGCAAGUCGGGCGUGAAAUCCCUGAGCUCAACUCAGGAACUGCACUCGAAACUGCUUAUCUUGAGUGCCGGAGAGGAAAGCGGAAUACCUGGUGUAGAGGUGAAAUUCGUAGAUAUCAGGUGGAACACCAGUGGCGAAGGCGGCUUUCUGGACGGUAACUGGACGCUGAGACGCGAAAGCGUGGGGAGCAAACAGG
rnacentral:rRNA from 1 species